ensembl:snRNA U6 U6 spliceosomal RNA
GUGCUUGCUAAGGCAGCACAUAACCUAAAAUUGGAACAAUACAGAGAAUAUGAGCAUGGCCCCUGUGCAAGGAUGACAUGCAAAUUUGUGGCUUAGUGGUUAAGACAUUU